GACUGCUGGAGCGCUUAGAAGUGAGAAUGCCGGUAUGAGUAGCGAAAGACAGGUGAGAAUCCUGUCCACCGAAUGACUAAGGUUUCCUGGGGAAGGCUCGUCCGCCCAGGGUUAGUCGGGACCUAAGCCGAGGCCGACAGGCGUAGGCGAUGGACAACAGGUUGAUAUUCCUGUACCCGUUGUUUUUGUUUGAGCAAUGGAGGGACGCAGGAGGCUAAGAAGUGCAGACUGAUGGAUAUGUCUGUUCAAGCAGUAAGUCUUGGUAGGAGUCAAAUGCUUCUACCUAUACGGACAAGCUGUGAUGAGGAGGGAAAUAAUAGUACCGAAGCUUCUGAUGUCACACUGCCAAGAAAAGCUUCUAGUGAGAAAACAAC
rnacentral:rRNA from 1 species